GAUGAACGCUGGCGGCGUGCCUAAUACAUGCAAGUCGAGCGAACAGACGAGGAGCUUGCUCCUCUGACGUUAGCGGCGGACGGGUGAGUAACACGUGGAUAACCUACCUAUAAGACUGGGAUAACUUCGGGAAACCGGAGCUAAUACCGGAUAAUAUAUUGAACCGCAUGGUUCAAUAGUGAAAGACGGUUUUGCUGUCACUUAUAGAUGGAUCCGCGCCGCAUUAGCUAGUUGGUAAGGUAACGGCUUACCAAGGCAACGAUGCGUAGCCGACCUGAGAGGGUGAUCGGCCACACUGGAACUGAGACACGGUCCAGACUCCUACGGGUGGCAGCAGUAGGGAAUCUUCCGCAAUGGGCGAAAGCCUGACGGAGCAACGCCGCGUGAGUGGUGAAGGUCUUCGGAUCGUAAAACUCUGUUAUUAGGGAAGAACAAAUGUGUAAGUAACUAUGCACGUCUUGACGGUACCUAAUCAGAAAGCCACGGCUAACUACGUG
rnacentral:rRNA from 1 species